UACGUAGGGGGCUAGCGUUGUCCGGAAUCAUUGGGCGUAAAGCGCGCGUAGGCGGUCCGGCAAGUCUGCUGUGAAAGUCCAGGGCUCAACCCUGGAAGGCCGGUGGAUACUGUCGGACUAGAGUGCGGAAGAGGCGAGUGGAAUUCCUGGUGUAGCGGUGGAAUGCGCAGAUAUCAGGAGGAACACCUAUAGCGAAGGCAGCUCGCUGGGACGUAACUGACGCUAAGGCGCGAAAGCUAGGGGAGCAAACGGG
rnacentral:rRNA from 1 species